rnacentral:lncRNA from 1 species
UGCAGUCCUCUCUGGCUGCCCAUGUGAUUGGACAGAAUAACACAGCAAGGGGAACUUGGAGGUGGACCAACUUGGACAAUUUCUUCCAUACAGGGUCUCAUGGAAUCCAGACUGCCCUCUAACUCCCUCUAUGGCCAUAGAUGACCUCGGCCUCGCCCCUCUCCCGAUGCCCAGGACUGAGGAUUGGACCUAGGACUUGGAAGCACGACAGAGCUUUCUUGUCUGCAUCUGCUGACUGGCCACAGGGAAACUGACCUUAUUCUGGGAACGAAGGUGGAAGGCUUCCUUGGGGAGAUGCUAUGUGAA